UUAUAUUGACUAGAUGACAUCUAGAUGGGUAUGUGUCACAAGAGGUAGUGACAAGGGCGAUUCUGUCAUCUCUAGAGAAACAAAUUUUAACCCCUUGUCCCUUUGUUCUUUCCGUCUCUCUUUCUAUUGUUCUCCCACUUCUUCAUCUCCUUGAGAAACCAGAAAUUAAAGGAAGGAUUUUGCGUUUUUAAGAAAAAUCAAGUAAACCCAUUUGUGAGAUUGUUAUUUGGAUUGCUAUCUUGAGUCAAGAAAUUUUCUUUUGGUCACACGAAACUUGGAUCUCGGAUUCUCAAUGGUUUAUGUAGUUUUUCGUUUCAAGAAUCAGGAUUCAUUAUGGAGCAACAAGCUACAAGAAGCUUGCGGCAGCGAAGCUAAAGACGCAAAUGAGUGUCCUUGUCUUUGGAAUUGGAAUUUCGGGAACUACAUCAGCUAGAAAGAUGAAAGGUUUUAGUAACAAAGUGCGUCGCAACAAACCUGGAGUGAGGAACAGUGUGUGAUUCAGUUGAGGAGUUGGAAUCGUCUUUUCAUCAUCUAUGUUUCACAGGUAGGGGAUUUCUUCCUCUUGAUAUAUCAAUCUCCACACCUGCCAACGAAUCACGUUUAAUCACGCUUUCUUUAAGGUCUGUGGUUUUAUUUACUUGGGAAUAAAAUGGAUAUUUGAAACUUGUUAGUCCCGAACAUGAUCAUCCGUGUGUUUUUCGAAAUUGACUUUAGAACAAAAUUUCAUUUGUGCUCGAUUUUAGGCUGAUGAUUUCAUAAACUUCAUUUUUUUUCUAAAUAAAUUGGAUUUGUUUUUGAUCCUAUUUGCUUAACAUUAUGUUCUUCCACAAGAGUCUGAUCUUUGACUUCCAUUUUCAUGAGGGAAAUGUUUUGGUUUAUGGUUUAUAAGCGCUAGAUUUACAUUUUGUCUAAAGGUACUUUUUCGAUCAUCCCAACGUUUUCCAUAUUCCUCUACAUUUUAUUUGUUAAGCAUUUGGUUGGAUAUUUCUGUCUUCGAAUACUCUCGACAAGUAGGAGUAAACUUUCCUUAACCGGCUGUUGGAAAUUUUCCUUGGGCUUUUGUCGAUCGGUGUGGUUUGCAUCAUUCUAAGCAAAACUGAAUUUCAGUUUAGCUUUUUAGCACGAUGGAAUCUUCGUAAUUUUACAUGGUAUUCUUUUAUUUUGUAUAAACUUUUCAUUUUCUCCACACUUGGUUAUAAUCUCGGAACAUAAUCCUAGUAGUCCAACUGGAAUAGGCAACUUGGGAAAUGAAAUUUAGAUAUAAGAGUAGUAUCAAGAGCCGUAUGGAGGUAAUCUUCGUAGCUAUUAAUCUUUGUUUGAUUUUCGAGGACGAAUUUUUUUGUGUGGGUAAUGGUGUAACAUAGACAGUGAAAUUUAAUUUGGGUUAUGGGCUUGAGCCCAACCCGUUCGUGUGAUGCUGGGAUCCAGUGCACCAAUCUUAGCAUUUUUGUGACUUGCAUAUGGAAUGAUGGGUGAGUGCCUUAGUCUUUAAGUAGCGUGUUAUGAACCAAUUUUUCCCACCGCAUAUACAAAGAGUAGUCAAUUUAGUGUUUCCAUGGAGUUGACUGAGACUUAUAUUGACUAGAUGACAUCUAGAUGGGUAUGUGUCACAAGAGGUAGUGACAAGGGCGAUUCUGUCAUCUCUAGAAAAACAAAUUUUAACACCUUUUUCCCUUUGUUCUUUCCGUCUCUCUUUCUAAUGUUCUCCCACUUCUUCAUCUCCUUGAGAAACCAGAAAUUAAAGGAAGGAGUUUGCGGUUUUAAGAAAACUCAAUUAAACCCAUUUGUGAGAUUGUUAUUUGGAUUGCUAUCUUGAGUCAAGAAAUUUUCUUUUGGUCACACGAAACUUGGAGCUCGGAUUCUCAAUGGUUUAUGUAGUUUUUCGUUUCAAGUUAGGGGGUUUUUCUUUCCCUUGAACUUCUUGUUUUACUUGUAUUAAUCAAACUGAUUUGGUGGAUUCCUCCUAGUUUGUAUAAUUUUUGAAUGUCACUAAAUGGGUAUUUGGUAAUCAUCUUGGUCUCAUGAUUUACCAUUUUGCA